rnacentral:rRNA from 1 species
CAGGCCUAACACAUGCAAGUCGAGCGGAGAUGAGGUGCUUGCACCUUAUCUUAGCGGCGGACGGGUGAGUAAUGCUUAGGAAUCUGCCAAUUAGUGGGGGACAACAUUUCGAAAGGAAUGCUAAUACCGCAUACGCCCUACGGGGGAAAGCAGGGGAUCUUCGGACCUUGCGCUAAUAGAUGAGCCUAAGUCGGAUUAGCUAGUUGGUGGGGUAAAGGCCUACCAAGGCGACGAUCUGUAGCGGGUCUGAGAGGAUGAUCCGCCACACUGGGACUGAGACACGGCCCAGACUCCUACGGGAGGCAGCAGUGGGGAAUAUUGGACAAUGGGGGGAACCCUGAUCCAGCCAUGCCGCGUGUGUGAAGAAGGCCUUUUGGUUGUAAAGCACUUUAAGCGAGGAGGAGGAGCUCUAGAUUAAUACUCUAGAUGCUUGGACGUUACUCGCAGAAUAAGCACCGGCUAACUCUGUGCCAGCAGCCGCGGUAAUACG